GAUUUUAGUGCUUGCACUAAAUGAAACUAGAUACAAGCGAGCGGCGGACGGGUGAGUAACACGUGGGUAACCUGCCCAAGAGACUGGGAUAACACCUGGAAACAGAUGCUAAUACCGGAUAACAACACUAGACGCAUGUCUAGAGUUUGAAAGAUGGUUCUGCUAUCACUCUUGGAUGGACCUGCGGUGCAUUAGCUAGUUGGUAAGGUAACGGCUUACCAAGGCAAUGAUGCAUAGCCGAGUUGAGAGACUGAUCGGCCACAUUGGGACUGAGACACGGCCCAAACUCCUACGGGAGGCAGCAGUAGGGAAUCUUCCACAAUGGACGAAAGUCUGAUGGAGCAACGCCGCGUGAGUGAAGAAGGGUUUCGGCUCGUAAAGCUCUGUUGGUAGUGAAGAAAGAUAGAGGUAGUAACUGGCCUUUAUUUGACGGUAAUUACUUAGAAAGUCACGGCUAACUACGUGCCAGCAGCCGCGGUAAUACGUAGGUGGCAAGCGUUGUCCGGAUUUAUUGGGCGUAAAGCGAGUGCAGGCGGUUCAAUAAGUCUGAUGUGAAAGCCUUCGGCUCAACCGGAGAAUUGCAUCAGAAACUGUUGAACUUGAGUGCAGAAGAGGAGAGUGGAACUCCAUGUGUAGCGGUGGAAUGCGUAGAUAUAUGGAAGAACACCAGUGGCGAAGGCGGCUCUCUGGUCUGCAACUGACGCUGAGGCUCGAAAGCAUGGGUAGCGAACAGGAUUAGAUACCCUGGCAGUCCAUGCCGUA
rnacentral:rRNA from 1 species